rnacentral:tRNA from 15 species
CCACACAUGGUAUAACCUUUAAGGA